UACGAAGGGGGCUAGCGUUGUUCGGAAUUACUGGGCGUAAAGCGCACGUAGGCGGAUAUUUAAGUCAGGGGUGAAAUCCCAGAGCUCAACUCUGGAACUGCCUUUGAUACUGGGUAUCUCGAGUAUGGAAGAGGUGAGUGGAAUUCCGAGUGUAGAGGUGAAAUUCGUAGAUAUUAGGAAGAACACCAGUGGCGAAGGCAGCUCGCUGGGACGGUACUGACGCUGAGGCGCGAAAGCGUGGGGAGCAAACAGG
rnacentral:rRNA from 1 species